AGCCAACUAAACUGGCGAAGCGCAUUUUAAGAGCGACAAAUAUUUGGAAUACUUAACAGCGAAAGCAAAAUACAAAUCAGAAAAGAAGAAUGUUAACAGAGCUAAAUCUCAAAGAGAGAGACUUCGUAUGUUAAUUUGUGGGUGAAAAUCUAAACGCACAGGAUCCGAGAGAAGCCCGUAGAUGGAUGGAGAAUAUGGGGAUCGACCCCAUGAAGAAGCUGCCACCCCACAACUCCUUCGUAUGCAUCCACCAUUUCGAACCCGAAGUAGUGGAUGGAAAAUGCCUGAGGAAGGGUGCCCUUCCAACGCUCAACUUGGGGAUUGGAUGGAGACUCUCCGCAUAGCUGUACCGCUUCCAACCCCAAGCGAAGCUGCUGUAUCACGGGCUGUGUUCCUCAGCAAAAGCGCUUGUUUGCCUUUCCUAGGACUGGAGAACUUCGGCAGCGUUGGGCCCUGGCUUGCAAAGUACAAGCGUUAAACGCCGACCGAUUAUUCGUUUGCCAACGCCACUUUGAGUCGGAAUUUUUAGAUAUUUUUUAUUUACAGGU